rnacentral:rRNA from 1 species
CACGUAGGGGGCGAGCGUUGUCCGGAUUUAUUGGGCGUAAAGAGCUCGUAGGCGGUUCGCUAAGUCGGGUGUGAAACCUCCAGGCUCAACCUGGAGACGCCACCUGAUACUGGCGAGCUUGAGUACGAAAGAGGAUCGCGGAAUUCCCGGUGUAGAGGUGAAAUUCGUAGAUAUCGGGAGGAACACCGGUGGCGAAGGCGGCGAUCUGGGUCGAUACUGACGCUGAGGUGCGAAAGCGUGGGGAGCAAACAGG